GAUGAACGCUGGCGGCGUGCCUAAUACAUGCAAGUCGAGCGAACGGACGAGAAGCUUGCUUUUCUGAUGUUAGCGGCGGACGGGUGAGUAACACGUGGAUAACCUACCUAUAAGACUGGGAUAACUUCGGGAAACCGGAGCUAAUACCGGAUAAUAUUUUGAACCGCAUGGUUCAAAAGUGAAAGACGGUCUUGCUGUCACUUAUAGAUGGAUCCGCGCUGCAUUAGCUAGUUGGUAAGGUAACGGCCUACCAAGGCAACGAUGCAUAGCCGACCUGAGAGGCUGAUCGGCCACACUGGAACUUGGACACGGUCCAGACUCCUACGGGAGGCAGCAGUAGGGAAUCUUCCGCAAUGGGCGAAAGCCUGACGGAGCAACUCCGCGUGAGUGAUGAAGGUCUUCGGAGCGUAAAACUCUGUUAUUAGGGAAGAACAUAUGUGUAAGUAACUGUGCACAUCUUGACGGUACCUAAUCAGAAAGCCACGGCUAACUACGUG
rnacentral:rRNA from 1 species